UGCUAGUUGCACGAGCUUAGACUCGUAGCGGAAAGCUCAGUAACACGUGGUCAAACUACCCUAUAGACUGGAAUAACCUCGGGAAACUGAGGACAAUACCGGAUAACGCCCCCACGUUUGAACACGGGGGGCCGGAAACGCUCCGGCGCUAUAGGAUGUGGCUGCGGCCGAUUAGGUAGACGGUGGGGUAACGGCCCACCGUGCCGAUAAUCGGUACGGGUUGUGAGAGCAAGAGCCCGGAGAUGGAUUCUGAGACAAGAAUCCAGGCCCUACGGGGCGCAGCAGGCGCGAAAACUUUACACUGCACGACAGUGCGAUAAGGGAACUCCAAGUGCGAGGGCAUAUAGUCCUCGCUUUUGUGUAUCGUAAGGUGGUACACGAAUAAGAGCUGGGCAAGACCGGUGCCAGCCGCCGCGGUAAUACCGGCAGCUCAAGUGAUGGCCAAUAUUAUUGGGCCUAAAGCGUCCGUAGCCGGCCGAACAGGUCCGUCGGGAAAUCUGCUCGCUCAACGAGCAGGCGUCCGACGGAAACCAGUCGGCUUGGGACCGGAAGACCCGAGGGGUACGUCUGGGGUAGGAGUGAAAUCCUGUAAUCCUAGACGGACCGCCGGUGGCGAAAGCGCCUCGGGAAGACGGAUCCGACGGUGAGGGACGAAAGCUAGGGUCACGAACCGGAUUAGAUACCCGGGUAGUCCUAGCUGUAAACGAUGCUCGCUAGGUGUGGCACAGGCUACGAGCCUGUGCUGUGCCGUAGGGAAGCCGAGAAGCGAGCCGCCUGGGAAGUACGUCUGCAAGGAUGAAACUUAAAGGAAUUNGGCGGGGGAGCACUACAACCNGGAGGAGCCUGCGGUUUAAUUGGACUCAACGCCGGACAUCUCACCAGCACCGACAAUAGCUGUGACGGUCAGUUUGAUGAGCUUACUAGAGCUUUUGAGAGGAGGUGCAUGGCCGCCGUCAGCUCGUACCGUGAGGCGUCCUGUUAAGUCAGGCAACGAGCGAGACCCGCAUUCCUAAUUGCCAGCAGCACCCUUGUGGUGGCUGGGUACAUUAGGAGGACUGCCGCUGCUAAAGCGGAGGAAGGAACGGGCAACGGUAGGUCAGCAUGCCCCGAAUGUGCUGGGCUACACGCGGGCUACAAUGGCCGAGACAAUGGGUUGCAACCCCGAGAGGGGGCGCUAAUCUCCGAAACUCGGUCGUAGUUCGGAUUGAGGGCUGAAACUCGCCCUCAUGAAGCUGGAUUCGGUAGUAAUCGCGCUUCAGCAGAGCGCGGUGAAUACGUCCCUGCUCCUUGCACACACCGCCCGUCAAAGCACCCGAGUGAGGUCCGGAUGAGGCCAUCAGGCGAUGGUCGAAUC
rnacentral:rRNA from 1 species